rnacentral:rRNA from 1 species
CUGAUUAGCUAGUUGGUAAGGUAACGGCUUACCAAGGCGACGAUCAGUAGCCGACCUGAGAGGGUGAUCGGCCACAUUGGAACUGAGACACGGGCCAAACUCCUACGGGAGGCAGCAGUGGGGAAUAUUGCACAAUGGGCGAAAGCCUGAUGCAGCAACGCCGCGGGAGUGAUGAAGGCCUUCGGGUCGUAAAACUCUGUCCUCAAGGAAGAUAAUGACGGUACUUGAGGAGGAA